UACGGGGGGGGCAAGCGUUGUUCGGAAUUACUGGGCGUAAAGGGUUCGUAGGUGGCCAACUAAGUCAGACGUGAAAUCCCUCAGCUUAACUGGGGAACUGCGUCUGAGACUGGAUGGCUUGAGUGCAGGAGAGGAACGCGGAAUUCCAGGUGUAGCGGUGAAAUGCGUAGAUAUCUGGAGGAACACCGGUGGCGAAGGCGGCAUCCUGGACCGGCAUUGACGCUGAGGAGCGAAAGCCAGGGGAGCAAACGGG
rnacentral:rRNA from 1 species